rnacentral:rRNA from 1 species
GGCGCGUACAGAGCGUUGCCAAUCCGCGAGGAGGAGCCAAUCUCACAAAGCGCGUAGUAGUCCGGAUCGGAGUCUGCAACUCGACUCCGUGAAGUCGGAAUCGCUAGUAAUCGCGGAACAGCAUCCCGCGGUGAAUACGUUCCCGGGUCUUGUACACACCGCCCGUCACACCAUGGGAGUGAUUUUCACCAGAAGCAGGUAGUUUAACCGCAAUU